CUGUUUUUCCAGACGCACCGCUGCGCUCAGGAUUGCUUGUGCAGUUGUUCAGAAUGGCUCAAGUGGACAGCAGGGCUCUGGCUUUGGGCGUUCUGGCCGGGGCUGCAGGGAUCAGCCUGGCGAUUGUCUUCUUCCACAAAUCUGGAGCCGGUGGUGGCCGAGUCCUGCAGCUGAGCCGUACCUCGGAUCACACGGGAGGUAGUGUGGUUCUGCACUCAGGCCAGGCAGAAGUCUUGGAUCGGUUGGGCACUCUGAUCCAAUGUGUUUCUGAACUCAAGGAGGAAGUGAAAGCCCUGAAGGAUGCUCUUCCACACCUGCAGGACAACAUCAGGGAUCAGCUGAGGGGCCGGUGUGGGGAAGAUAUUGGCGCUCGCAAGGCGAGUCCCCUACAUAGGACUCCCACCAGGAGGAAAAGAGCAGGUGCCCCAAUGAGGAGUGAAGGACAAAGUUCAGAAGAGGCAGAGAGUGAAGGAGGGUAUUUAACUGCACUGACAGAUUCUGAGGAAGAGCAAAGUGAUGAGGAUGGUAAGCCAGUGUAUGAACCAGUGGAUGAACUCACAGCAUUACUGCAGAAAGCAGACCGAUUGCACAGCUGCAACGGGGCAGAGAAAGUGCAAGGCCUGGACACUCUGCUGGAGAGGAAAGGAGAGUUUGAGCAGAAGGACCAGUACCUUUGGCGGUUGUCCAGAGCAUAUGCAGAUGCCCAUGAUGUCGCAGUGGACCUUGCAGAGAAAAAGAGCUGUGCUGAGAAUGGGAAAAAAGUUGGUGAAGAGGCAAUUUCCAUCAAUCCACUGUGUGCUGAAAGUCAUCAGUGGUAUGCUAUACUUUGUGGACUCCUGUCAGAAUACGAAUCCAUCCAGAAUAAAAUUAAAAAUGGCUACCUUUUUAAGUUGGACAUGUUGAUGGGAGUGUAACGUCAGGUAUCUGUGAGUAAGUGUUCAUAAUCGUAUCUGAGAGGAGAGGAAAUGGAUUGAGGGUACCACACACACAUGCUCAUACACACACACACACAUACACACACAUAUUUCAUAAGAUCUGAUUGUCUCUGAUAUAUGUUGCAUUUUAUCUUCAUUGUCAGCUAGAUUUCCAAACACAUCACAUCUGCAGAGGCUAGCAGUGAGAGAGAGAGAGAGAGAGAGAGAGAGAGAGAGAGAGAGAGAGAGAGAGGUGAAUGAUAGACGUGUGCGGUGGGUUUUUAUGUGUUUGCGUAAGACACUUCAGAAGAAAUAUUUUAAAGGUCUGGAGAAGUCCUGUAAAUUCAUAAAAAUGUCAAAAGUCAUGGAAAUUUCUAUAGUGAAUAUGGGUAGUUGACAUUAAAUACUUCUGGAAAGUUAACAGGUUUUGCGGUAUGAUGUUAACACUUUAUAAUAACACAUAACGCUUUAGUCAACUACAUUAGUUAACAUAUUAACUAAUUCUGGACAAAAUACCUACAUGCUUUAUUAAAGGGAUAGUUCACCCAAAAUUCUCUCACCACUUACUCACCCUCAUGCCAUCCCAGGUGUAUAUGAGUUUAUUUCUUCUUCAGAACACAAACAAAGAUUUUUAGAAGAAUAUCUCAGCUCUGUAGGUCCAUACAUUGCAAGUGGAUGAUUAUCAGCACUUUAAAGCUCCACAAAACAGAGACAAUCGUAGUAAAAGAAAUCCAAUUCAUGUCUUCUAAAGUGAUACAAUCGCUAUUAAUAUUUAAGCUCUCCAAUGCAUAUUCGUGAGAGGGCCGAGUUCACACAGCCACUCGCGUGACGUAAUCAUCUGUCACACCUCACGCCAUUUAAAAUGAAUUAGUGAAGGCACAACAGUGAUUAAAAAUGGUGAAAAACUUAAUACAAAAAUGGUAACCUGUUUUACAGGACCAUAAAAUAUCCACUUUCCCUUUUACAUUAAUUAAUUUUAACCUGAAAACGAUUGGCAUUGAUAACAAAAAAAAAAAAAAAGCUCAUGAGCAUGUUAUGCAGUCAUGAAAAACUCAAAGUCAUUGGUAAAAAAGUGUGGGAACACUGCUGUGUUCUUAUUAAAUGAACAAGUCUACCUGCACUUUCAAAAUGCAAGUUCUCAUUCGCUGAUCUUCAAACUCUUCAUAAUUGUGUGCGUGCAGGUGUCACAGUGUGUACAUGGAUUGAGAGGAAAAUUGCUGCGACUCUGUUCGGAGAACCUCCCAGUGCCACAGUCCAGGAUGCCCUACAGAACUUCUUCAAGGCAGAAGAGAUCAGUCCAAAGUACUCAAAAUUCAACUAUGUGUUUUUAG